rnacentral:rRNA from 1 species
UGGGGAAUAUUGGACAAUGGGCGAAAGCCUGAUCCAGCCAUGCCGCGUGUGUGAAGAAGGUCUUCGGAUUGUAAAGCACUUUAAGUUGGGAGGAAGGGCAGUAAGCGAAUACCUUGCUGUUUUGACGUUACCGACAGAAUAAGCACCGGCUAACUCUGUGCCAGCAGCCGCGGUAAUACAGAGGGUGCAAGCGUUAAUCGGAAUUACUGGGCGUAAAGCGCGCGUAGGUGGUUCGUUAAGUUGAAUGUGAAAGCCCCGGGCUCAACCUGGGAAUUGCAUCCAAAACUGGCAAGCUAGAGUAGGGCAGAGGGUGGUGGAAUUUCCUGUGUAGCGGUGAAAUGCGUAGAUAUAGGAAGGAACACCAGUGGCGAGGGCGACCACCUGGGCUCAUACUGACACUGAGAUGCGAAAGCGUGGGGAGCAAACAGG